UACAGAGGGGGCAAGCGUUGUUCGGAAUUACUGGGCGUAAAGGGCGCGUAGGUGGCCUUCUAAGUUGAACGUGAAAUCCCUGGGCUCAACCCAGGAACUGCGUCCAAGACUGGGAGGCUUGAAUCCGGGAGAGGGAUGCGGAAUUCCAGGUGUAGCGGUGAAAUGCGUAGAUAUCUGGAGGAAUACCAGUGGCGAAGGCGGCUUCCUGGCCUGUUCUUGACGCUGAGGCGCGAAAGCUAGGGGAGCAAACGGG
rnacentral:rRNA from 1 species